UGGAGCCUGAAACGGGGUCUGUCCCAGAAG
rnacentral:piRNA from 1 species